ensembl:lncRNA LINC00607 long intergenic non-protein coding RNA 607
AAGGAUUGUGUCUUACUUAUACUUACGGGCUUGUGGUUCAGCGGAGACCACACUGGACUGGACUGAACAGACAACUGAAGGGCUCUCUCUACCUUUCAGCAUCUCUGUCUGCCUUUCUGACUACCUAAAAAUUACUGCAACCUCUGAUUCUGUUUCUAAGGUGGAUUUUCCCUACUCAUGCUUCCUAGAGAUUUGGUGAGGAUUUGUUGAGUCAUGGGACAUUUCAGCUUGCCAAGCUUCUUUAGCUUUAGCACGUGUUUCCACCAGUGUCCCUUAACGGAGAGGAUGACUAUGUCACUGAAGAAGUGGAGGGGCUGAAAAUGGACUCAGCUCUUGGCCCCUGUAGAGACUGCAAGACUCCGUGCACAACGUGACAGUCGGGGCUUCCUCUGAGCACUGCGCCGUUCAGCCCUAUUGCGCAACCUGCCACGCCCUGUUACUGUAAAUGGAACACCGGCUGUGAGCUGGUCAAGGCCCUGCCAUGACAAGGCCACUUGCAUAGGACUCCAAAUUAAAAAAAAAAAAA